GUGGCCGGAUAAUCGCGCCCUUUUGGGUGAGGAAAGUCCGUGCAUCCAAGGACAGACCGCCGGAGAAACUCCGGACAGCGUGAGCUGGUGGAUAGGACUACAGGAAAUAUACUGCCGAUGGAUUUUUAAUCACAGGCGAUGGUGCAACGGUGAGGUAAGAGCAUCACCAGCGAUAUCGAGAGAUAUCGGCUAAGCAACCCCCGGUCGGAUGCAAGAUUGAAUUAAGCGUUUGAGGUGUCCGCCGAGCUUAGAAAAUCGCUAGAGAUUGGAAGUAAUUCCAAUACCAGACAGAUGAUUAUCAGGGGAUAUUAUUCACCCCCAACAGAACACGGCUUAUGAACCACUUU
rnacentral:RNase_P_RNA from 1 species